rnacentral:rRNA from 1 species
UACGUAGGGGGCGAGCGUUGUCCGGAUUUAUUGGGCGUAAAGAGCGCGUAGGCGGCCCGGUAAGUCCACUGUGAAAGUCAAAGGCUCAACCUUUGAAUGUCAGCGGAUACUGCCGGGCUAGAGUCCGGAAGAGGCGAGUGGAACUCCUGGUGUAGCGGUGGAAUGCGCAGAUAUCAGGAAGAACACCAACGGCGAAGGCAGCUCGCUGGGACGGAACUGACGCUGAGGCGCGAAAGCGUGGGGAGCGAACAGG